UGGAAGGAACAAGAGUUGGAAGUGAGCUCCCUGUAUAUGAACAAUUGAGGCUAGCAAGUAUUGCAGAAAACAAAAAUAUGUUGAGAGCUCUUGUUGAAAUAAACAAGAAAUAUUUAGCAUUGGGAGAAAACAUGAGGCCCUCUGGGGAAGUAGGUGGCUUGUCCCAGCCAGCCAAGAAGAAAGUUAUUCGGAGUUCUCAUUGCUAUAUGUAGCUGGCAUCAAGAGUUACGCUCGUAGCAGGCAUGAAUUGAAACAACCUGAAGAAGCAGCUGAACUCCACACAGAAUUGAAGGAAAAACCUACACAAGGAGAUUUUCACGCACAUGUUUUUGGAGAGAAGGAACCAAGAGGAGGUGUGCGAAAGUUAUGUCUGGGACCAACUCCUCAAAAUGUGGGUACACAAGGAACAAAGGCUAAACCGCCAACAAAGCUUGAAUUAGAAUUCAAAUUUCGUCGACAAGAUGAACAAGUUUGUACUCUACUAGAGCGCAUGGAACAAAUGCAAUGAAAAAUUGGAGAGAUGCAUCAAGUUCUUUUUUCUCUAGGAAUCCAAAAUGUGGAAACAUCAUUGCCUAAUAGUUCUGUCUCUCAGCCCGUGCUCUCACGGAUUGUAGCACAAGAUGGCAAAUGGAACUUCUAAUUCAGACGACUUUUGCUAAGUUAUAUCAGGGACAAAUGAUAGAAAGUACCAAGCCCGCUAGUUGAUUGAAGAUGUCCUCGCGAUUGCUUUUGUUGAAAACAUGGAUGACACAUUUUGUUCAUACGGAAGUUGAUUUGGCUUGGAAAUUGAAGAGUUGGUCUUCGAUAAUAUUCUGUAGUCAGUCCAGUGAUCAAGCACUUGGUCUCUUAGGAAUUUUAGCCAUUAUGUUUGUAACAUGCCUAUCUUGUAUAUCUAACUUGUGUAUUUCCUUCAUGGUUGUAGCCAUCUUUAGUGAAGAAAACUACUGAAUCUUCUAUGUAUAUAUUGAA